rnacentral:rRNA from 1 species
GAUGAACGCUGUCGGCGUGCCUAAUACAUGCAAGUCGAGCGAACGGACGAGAAGCUUGCUUCUCUGAUGUUAGCGGCGGACGGGUGAGUAACACGUGGAUAACCUACCUAUAAGACUGGGAUAACUUCGGGAAACCGGAGCUAAUACCGGAUAAUAUUUUGAACCGCAUGGUUCAAAAGUGAAAGACGGUCUUGCUAUCACUUAUAGAUGGAUCCGCGCUGCAUUAGCUAGUUGGUAAGGUAACGGCUUACCAAGGCAACGAUGCAUAGCCGACCUGAGAGGGUGAUCGGCCACACUGGAACUGAGACACGGUCCAGACUCCUACGGGAGGCAGCAGUAGGGAAUCUUCCGCAAUGGGCGAAAGCCUGACGGAGCAACGCCGCGUGAGUGAUGAAGGUCUUCGGAUCGUAAAACUCUGUUAUUAGGGAAGAACAUAUGUGUAAGUAACUGUGCACGUCUUGACGGUACCUAAUCAGAAAGCCACGGCUAACUACGUG